rnacentral:rRNA from 1 species
AUUGAACGCUGGCGGCAGGCCUAACACAUGCAAGUCGAACGGUAGCACAGAGAGCUUGCUCUCGGGUGACGAGUGGCGGACGGGUGAGUAACGUCUGGGAAACUGCCCGAUGGAGGGGGAUAACUACUGGAAACGGUAGCUAAUACCGCAUAACGUCGCAAGACCAAAGUGGGGGACCUUCGGGCCUCACACCAUCGGAUGUGCCCAGAUGGGAUUAGCUAGUAGGUGGGGUAAUGGCUCACCUAGGCGACGAUCUCUAGCUGGUCUGAGAGGAUGACCAGCCACACUGGAACUGGGACACGGUCCAGACUCCUACGGGAGGCAGCAGUGGGGAAUAUUGCACAAUGGGCGCAAGCCUGAUGCAGCCAUGCCGCGUGUAUGAAGAAGGCCUUCGGGUUGUAAAGUACUUUCAGCGGGGAGGAAGGCGGUGAAGUUAAUAGCUUCACCGAUUGACGUUACCCGCAGAAGAAGCACCGGCUAACUCCGUGCCAGCCGCCGCCGUAA